rnacentral:rRNA from 1 species
AUGUUGACAAAUGAAAAUAAUUGGACACCUCCGGAGCCAAUUCCUGAACCUAUUCCUAAACCAACUCCGAAGAAGAGGGGUAUUCUAUUUCUUAGUCCCGAAGAUAUGCAAGAAGCAAAGAAAUCUAUGAAAGAAAAAGGUAUUAAAGCUGAAGAUGUUAAGAAUUUACCUCCUAUUGAAGAAAUACAUGGUCUUAAUUUACCGCCUAUUGAAGAAACAUAUAAUCCAAAUCCUUUACCUAUUGAAGAAACUCAUGGUCUUGAUAACCCGACACAGGUAGUAAAGGUAAAUUCUCUCUAUAGAUAUGAUAAAGCUGCAAUCCCAUUUACUAAAACUGCUAGCCCAUGCUUAGAUGAGUUUGAUAAAUUUAUGGCUAAGCAAGAAGAUUGUAAUGCUUAUUUUGGUAGACAACUGAAAUACAAUUCAAAUAUGCUUGGACACUUGGGUGAUUAUAUGGCUAAUGUUAAAAGUGAACUUAAACUUAUUAGUAAACAUGCUUCUAUGGUUACCACUCAAGUAGAACAAGUACUUAAAGCUCAAAAUGAUUUGCUCAAUGAAUUGAAUAAUAAGAAUAAUGAUAAUGUUGUUAGAGUUAUGACUAGAGGUGGUAGAAUGACUCAGGAACCUUUGUAUCCUGAAGGCCAUCCCAAGAGAAUUGAGCAAGAUUCUCAGAGAAAUAAUUUAGACGCACCUAGUUCUGCUAAAAAGAAGAAAAAGAAAAAUGAUAGGACUUUGCAUGCUUCUAGUAAUCCUAUUGUUGAAACACUUGAGAAUCCAAAUGAUAUUUCUAUUUCUGAUGCUGAAACACAACCUGGUAAUGAAACUGAAAUUAGUGAUAAUGUUAAUAAUAAUGUUCAUGAUGAUGCUCCACCUAGUAAUGAUAAUGAUAUAGAAAUUGAACCUGCUGUUGAUCUUGAUAACCCACAAUCAAAGAAUCAAAGUUAUGCUAAGAAAGACUUUGUUACUAUGAAACAUGGUAAAGAAAGAGAACCAUGGGUUCAGAAACCCAUGCCUUUUCCUCCCAAACCAUCCAAGAAAAAGGAUGAUGAGGAUUUUGAGCGCUUUGCUGAAAUGAUUAGACCUAUCUUUUUGCGUAUGCGAUUAACUGAUAUGCUCAAAACCAAUCCUUAUGCUAAGUAUAUGAAAGAUAUUAUUACAAAUAAAAGAAAGAUACCGGAAGCUGAAAUUUCCACCAUGCUUGCUAAUUACACUUUUAAGGGUGGAACACCAAAGAAACUUGGAGAUCCAGGAGUACCCACUAUACCAUGCUCUAUUAAAAGAAACUAUGUUAAAACUGCUUUAUGUGAUCUUGGAGCCGGUGUUAGUGUUAUGCCUCUCUCUUUAUAUCGUAGACUUGAUUUGAAUAAGUUAACACCUACUGAAAUAUCUUUGCAAAUGGCUGAUAAAUCAACUGAUAUACCUGCCGGUAUUUGUGAGGAUGUGCCUGUUAUAGUUGCAAAUGUUACUAUUUUAGCGGACUUUGUUAUUCUUGAUAUUCCCGAGGACGAUAGUAUGUCUAUUAUUCUUGGAAGACCCUUUUUGAAUACUGCAGGGGCUGUUAUUGAUUGCACUAAAGGCAAUGUCACUUUUCAUUUUAAUGGUAAUGAGCACACGGUACACUUUCCGAGGAAACAACCUCAAGUUCAUAGUAUCAGCUCUAUUGGAAAAAUUCCAUCGAUUAUAUUUGGAGGUUUUGAAUUUCCUCUUCAUACUGUCAAGAAGAAAUAUGAUAUUCUUAUUAUUGGGGAUGUGCAUAUCCUUGUUGAGGUAACAUAG